UCCAGAAAAAACAGCGCCCAUGCCCCGCUCCCUCGAUCCCUAGCUAGCCAUCGCUCCUCUCCCCUUCUCCACCCGCCGCCACCGCCACCGCACCUCAAUCUCGAGCCAUUUCCUUCUCUCCGUCUGUACCUCCUGCGCUACCGCCGCUCCUACCCGGACCAUCCACGUCCUUCUGACCCACGCACGGCGCCUGCACUCCACGCCUCCACGCGACGCCACCACACCAAGGGGCGCUGAUGGCCGCCACCGGUGUGGGUGGUGGACUUGCGGGCCACCUCAUGCCGACGCGGUGCCUCCCGACGACCACCACCACCACCUCCUCCUCCUCCUCCUCCUCCUCCUCCUCCUCCUCCUCAAGCCAUCACCGCCGACUCCCCUCCACCAUGGCUUGCAUGCGUGAGCCCGACGCUGGAGGACGACGUCGACCAUGCAGUGGAGCCUAGCGGGCGUGGACCGACACAGUGGUCAUCGCCUAGGAUCGAUGACCGACGCUGAAGAGGAGGGGGGCCUCUUCCUGCUGCUAUCUUCCCCAUACCCUACGGGCUGGAUCUAGAGAAUAACUUACAAGGAACAGAAAUAUUUGUAUCGAGAGAGGGUGAGGGGCUGAUUUGUCUAGCACUUUUCUCUUCCAGCAGAUAUACAAGUUGUUGCCGACGACUCCGGCCGGGCAGGUGAUGUUAUGCUUGACCACUUCCUGCAUAAGAUUGUUGACUUGUUGACUUCUGUCUCAAAUGUCGCUCAGGUUCUUUCUCCAUGUGCCAAUCCAGCUCAGCUUGACUGUCAUAGCAAAAAGGGACAAGGACGGUGACUUCAACAACGAUAGGGCGGAAGCCAGUAUGCCUGGACCAACAAGCCGGUGUUCUUUCUUCCCUUCUUUCAUUACGUUGGGAGUGGAUAAUCAACUUUUGUUUUUCUUUUCUAUACCUUCUUAUUUAUGCAUCUUAGUUAGGAAGCUAACUAUGUUUCUUUGCAUCAUCAUGGAAUAUUUUUUGCAGGAUUUGCAGACAUUUGCUAAGCUUAAAUACGUGAAUAUGGACAUGUAGUACUAUUCAUUAGAGUGGACAGGUGAAUGUAGACAAUUUCGAUGGUUUAUUAAUUUUUCAGAGGUUUGUGAUGCUAUUAUACAUGUUCAUCAAUUUAUUAUGGCUGUUCUUGCACAUAGAUCGACAACCAGCCUAUUGGUGUUGUUGCAAACUCUUUGUUGUUACAUAAUUUCAAAUCAUUUUUCUUAAUCAUGUACAGAUAUUUCAGUAAAUGACUGCUUUAAACCAUACCUAAUAUCAUUAUAAUUAGUAACCCAUAUUGUGUCACAUAACUAGAUAUUGGCAGUCAAUUAUCAAUUGUCAUGCAGAUAUUGAGUUCAACAACUUCAGCUGCACAUGAAAAAUGAGGAAUAUUUGGAAGUGCUUGAGCUGAGUUAUUUCCAUGUUUUAUUUUUAGGAAUCCUCUCUGUAUUCAUCUUGUUAUACCUGAACUUAGUUUUUGUUGUUAUCGAUUCUUGGUGUUGGAAGCUAGGCAUAGUUAGGACGUCUUCCAGAAAAAUAAACAAUGUAUCUAAAAGAUCAAACAUUAGAGUGUACAUUCUUGCACUACAAGCUUGUCAAAAAUCCUUAGUUACUAUUCUUCCAGUACACAGAGAUAAGGAGAUUGGGAGUACACGGAGAUAACAAGAUUGGGGGCAUGUCUGGUGGUUGCAAUGAAAUUAUUUAUAUUGGUGCUUACUGAUUGUUGUACAUAUUUUUUCACCGACAUAAUAGGACUAAGUAAUUUGAUCAUAAGAUAGGUAAUAAUUGACUUCUGAAAACUGAACUAGCCAGUUAAAGUUUCUGGAAAUAUUGCAGAGCUAACUUACCUGAUGGCCAUGAUAUAUAUUUAAGUGAUAAUUGCUUUUUGAUUGCGUGAACUAAGGCUACAAGGAACUAAGGAGCGGCACUUGGAGAGGAAGGGUGCCAAAAUCCAAAAAGGAAUUUGGCAUGCAGCCACUCCACUGACACAACAAUCUCGUUACGUGACGCCGCGUAGAUGCCCAUUGCAGCGGUGGCCACUGACACCGACGACAAUGUGGCAUUGCAGCAAGCGACCCCGAAGCUGGCGAGGCUCGCAGCAGACCUCUGUUGUGCACGCCCAUCCGACCCUACCCGACGGUGUUCCCUGAGCCAUGGUGAGAUGUGGAGUAAGAGGAGACACCAGACCAGCUCGCACUGCAGUUGGCAUGGUUAACAUUACAAUCUUGGAAAGUGAUCCCCUCUAUAGACGAAGGAUUUAUGGACGUACGAAGGUACUACAGAAUGUGGCAUAGAUUAUCUAGAAAAUGGACUGCUUCCUCCUGAUGCCCAAUCAUGGUGUCAGGCUUCAUUUGAUCCUAAACAACUGCUUUGAUCAGUAAUUUAUCUACUCUUCAUCACUGCCUGCAAUUUUGAUCAUUGACUAUAGUUUGUAAAUCAACUUGAAUUUAACUUGGUAAGUUUUAACUGUCUAUUUUUUUGCUUAUCGGCUAUGUAUGGAGGUUGUCACAUGUUUGAUUGGACUUCAAUUUGGACAUGUAGUCCUACAUUUCGAGGUAUAAGAUUGUUGUUUGUUUCUAUAUUUUAACAUUUCUUCUUAUGGCGUAGAAACUGUAUUCUAUUUCCCCCUUUUUGGGCUAACUUGUGUGUAGAAGCUCAAAGGAAGAAUUAUCGACUGGCUAAUCUCUUCUUUCAACCUGUUAGAACUUACAUUUUUCCUGCUUAAAGUAUUACAUGAAUACACUAGAUAAUCACUGGAGCUUGCAGAGUUGACGCAGUAUAACAGAUUAGCCUGAUGCUAAAAGAUGUAGUCAUGCAGACCUUGCCAAUGAGUGAAUGUUGGAUUAGGUCCUGAUCAUCCGGAUGUUGCGGCAACUCUUAUAAAUGUGGCAAUGAUGUACCAGGAUGCGAGCAAUAUGAGUACUGCUCUUAGGUAUCUUCAGGAAGCAUUUAAGAAGAAUGAGUGCCUUUUAGGCCCAGGUCAUAUUCAAACAACAGUUCGCUAUCAUGCUCUCGCCAUUGCAUUUAGCUGUAUGGGUGCAUACAAGCUUUCAGUUUAGGUUAGUUCUGACGAAAAAAUGGCGGAAUAACAUUGUGACACAUUUUACUGACUUCAUGAUUUUGGUGGCAGCAUGAAACCAAGGCGCAUGAUAUACUGGUAAAACAGUUAGGGAGUGAUGAUUCACAAACAAAAUAUUCAAAAAUUAGUUGAAUAUAUUUAAGGGGCAAGAACAGCAAGUAUGUGCUGAAAAAUUAUUUCACAUGGUUGCUUCACUCUUGGUUCAGGGAUUCUUGCACAUUCCCAAAGUAGCAACUUCAAGUUAUAGGUAGGAGAAAGUUGCACUUAAUGGAUUCAGAUCAUGCGCAUUACAUUUUUUCAUAGGGGCAUAUGUUUUUUUCGUGAAUACGCAAAGCUUGUGUAUCAUUCCAUUAAUAGAAAAUAGAAUGAGUACAGUCGAGGGUACAACACAUGACAUGAACGUGCAAAGGCAUGAACAUGGAACCCGGAGCAGAGAGACAAGGGAUGCUCAGCCCGAACAUGGAAAAUACACAACUAAACCCACCAAUCCUAGAACUAGGGAGGCAGACCAAACAAGCAUGACAUCGUGCAUCUCCAAAUCCAACACUGGGGACGCCGCAAGCAAGCAAGAUAGCGCCUUCAAGAAGGAGAACGACGUCGCGAAGCCGCCACCAUCCGAUCUGGAGAACUGGACCUAGGGUUUCCCACAAUGCUCGAAAAGAUGUUUAUUGGAUCUCAAGUUUAUUCAAAGUGGGCCACGAGAACUUUAUGAAUCUGCUUGGCUAUUGGUGAAGAACAAAAUCCUUUCAUCAGAGGUAUGAUGUUUGAAUAAGGUCAAAAUAGGGCUCUCUUCGAGCAUCUCCAUUGUAGGUGUGUACUGAUUCUAUUAAUUUUCUUACUGUCAACAGUAUGGUUCCUAUAAGGUGCAGCCAGUUCAACAGUUUUAGCAUGUGUUGGUAGCCAACAAUUGCUAAUAAUCAGUAUUUGAUAAUGCUUUGGAUUAUUCUGUAGUUCUUUUUUUACCGCAGUUAUGUUGCAGUCAAAGAUACUGAGAACCUGGACUGGAUGACCCAACUUCAAAUGGCAAUGGGGAUAGCUUACUGUCGAGAGCACAUGCUUAAGCUGAAUCUACCUGCUAGGCCAAGGAACCUCAUCUCAACAGUUAUGUUGCAACGGUGUCAGAUCUUGAUGUCUGGAAUGGCACCAAGGGAUCUGAUUCUGUCACUGAUGAUUGCAUCAUGCUAUAUUUCAUUGUGCAUUAGUAUGGCAUCAUGCUUAAGCUGAAUCUACAUACUAUAGCUUACUGACGAAGAUAAUGGCUGCAUCUUUUUUUAGCUUGUCUCGUCGCAUCUAAUAGAAAACAUACAACUUGAUAUAUUCUGUCGGAUGCAUAUCUUUUUUUCUUGGAAGUUGAACACUCACAGCAAUGAUGGUAAACCAGGGGGCAUUUAUUUUUUUUAGUUACAGAUUUUCUCAGCAGUGUUGGUGACGUAUGAUAUUUCAUUGGGUGGCAAAUUAACAUAUUUUGCCUCUUUUUCAGAUAGCUAAAGAUAGUUUUGCUGGCCCCUUGUUUCUUGGAGAUAAUCUCUUUUGCGAUGUGGAAUAUUUGGAAACAGAUGAAUGCUUGGAGUUUUUUUAAGGGAAGCAAGCAUCUUUGUCUGGAUGGAUCUGGUCACAUAGAGUUAAAACCAAAGUCCACUUCAUGUGUUGAAAUGUUGGGAGAUUAAAGUUUAUGCUCUAUUCACACACCAUGGAGGCAACCAUCGCAGAGUCAUAGAGGGGGCAUCCAGAUAAAGAUGGUUAUGAGUUGAGAAUGAAAAUUUAUUAUACUUGUAUACAAGUACCAUGCGAGUGAAGCGAAAGACAAUAUUCCUGACGUUUUAUAGGAAUUUCUCAAGCACAUCAAGGAGAUCUUAGUUUAUAAUAGAUACUCCCUCUAUAAAGAAAUAUAAGAGUGUGUAGAUCACUAGACGCUCUUAUAUUUCUUUACGAAGGGAGUAAUUAUUAGUGCUCUCUUUGUAUACAUUGUCAAAUUACAAUUUAAGUGGAGUGGAUUUUAUUUUUUCUAUACAUGUGAAAUUUGAGUA